rnacentral:rRNA from 1 species
GACGAACGCUGGCGGCGUGGAUUAGGCAUGCAAGUCGAACGGUAUCAUCCUUUCGGGGGUGAGAGAGUGGCGAACUGGUGAGUAACACGUAGGUUAUCUACCCUCAAGACGGGGACAACCCAGGGAAACUUGGGCUAAUACCGGAUGUGAGCAACUUUUAGUUGUUUGAAAGGUGGCGUAAGCUGUCGCUUGGGGAUGAGCCUGCGUCCUAUUAGUUAGUUGGUGAGGUAACGGCUCACCUAGGCAAUGAUAGGUAGGCGGCCUUAACGGGUGGUCGCCCACACUGGGAUUGAGAUACGGCCCAGACUCCUACGGGAGGCAGCAGUCGAGAAUAGUCUACAAUGGUCGGAAGACUGAUAGUGCGACGCCGCGUGAACGAUGAAUCCCUUCGGGUGUAAAGUUCUUUUAUAUGUGAGCAGUGCUUCUUAUAUUAACAGUAUGGGGAGAGAGAUAUUAGCAUAUGAAUAAGCAACGGCUAACUCCGUGCCAGCAGCCGCGUAA